GGAGAGAAGCGUCGAAAAUUAACGGGUCUUAGACAAUAUACCUACACCGUGACUAUUUAUAAUAUAUUUCUUUAUUAUAAGUAAGGGUAGCAGAACACUCAGUAUCUGAUUGAAGGAAAAUGUUUCAUUUUCUGGACAGUACUGAAGAGAAAAUGCUGACAUGAGUAACGUAGAAAGGAGUUAAAACACUCCUCGCCGAAUACGAGAGGGUUUCAUGGAGAAGUUAAUCUGCCAUGAGUUAUACGGACUCUAAGGAUUAUAGGCGAACGUCUAUAUCUGAUGAGAAUUAUUACAAUUGCACCGAAUUGUCUAUAUAUAAUAACCAUUUCUCUGUACGAAAAUUUACAGAGUAGUUUCUACUAACUAUUUAGUUAGUAGGAUGAAUGGCUAGAUCAAGAAAAAUAGGUGUCACUAGAUUUAUAGUGAAUCCGUACCCUAAACCGACACAGGUUCGUAGGUAGAGAAUACUAAGGCGUAGAGAUAAUGCUUGUGAAGGAACUCGGCAAAUUGUGCCCGUAAGUUAGACGAUAAGGGUAACCAGAAUAAAUAAUUAUAGAAAAUUCUGAGUGUCACAAAAUCGAGGGCUGCGACUGUUUACCAAAAACACAGCAACUUGCUAAGACGAAUAGUACUUGUAUAAGUUGUGAACUCUGCCCAAUGCCAUGUCGUGUAAAGAAGGUGAUCUAGUUCGUAUUUUACUAACUAGAGUCACUAACUGAUGCCAUGGUGAAUGGCGGUCUUAACUAUAAGGAUCUGAAAGUAGCGAAAUUCCUUGGCCAUUAAAUGUGGUCCUGCAUGAAUGAGGUAACGUGGCCCUGCUGUCUCCACAAGCAUCUCAGUGAAAUUGAAUUAGCCGUGCAGAUGCGGUUUACCUUCAGUUAGACGGGAAGACCCUAUGCAGCUUUACUGUAGCUUGAUAUUGUUUCUUCUAUAGCUAGGUGUAGUAUACAAGGGAGUAGAUAUUCUUCUACGUCAGUGAAAUACCUUGACUAGUCUAAAGAAGAAACUUACCUAACACUACUAAUAACUAGUUACUUAUGAGAAUGCCAUAAUUUUCUGGUUAAUUCUCUAGAAUCUUUUUAGUAAGUUUCUAAGACAACCGUUUUAUAUAAAUAGAAAUCUUUUUAUAAAACGGUCUAUAGGUAAUUGAGAAAUUAGUUAGUCUGGGAAAAUAUCAGGUGGUCAGUUUGACUGGGACGGUAGCCUCUAAUAAAGUAUCAGAGGCCUUCAAAGGUAUGCAUAUAUUGGUCAGAAACCAAUGAACUAUGUAAAGUUUACUAAAGCGUAAUAGUAUAAGCAUGCUUGACUGAAAGACUGAUAGGUCGAUCAGAUACGCAAGUAGGAUAUAGUGAUCCGGUGAUUCAUAAUGGAAUGGUCAUCGCUCAAGAAAUAAAAGUUACGCUAGGGAUAACAGGUUUAUCGUUUGCGAGAGUUCAUAUUGUCCAAACGGUUUGACACCUCGAUGUCGACUCAUCUCAUCCUCCAGGUGUAGUAGCUUGGAAGGGUUCAGCUGUUCGCUGAUUAAAGAGGUACGCGAGUUGGGUUCAAUACGACGUGAGUCAGUAUGGUCCCUAUCUUCUGAAGGAAAAAGUAAUCAAUUAAGGACCUCCGGUUAGUACGAAAGGACCGCUGGGGAUGAUUCCAUGGUGUACCUAUUGUUAAAUCUAUUUUUAGACAUAGCACCGUAGGGUAGCCACAAUCAUGACAGAUAAGCGCUGAAAGCAUCUUAAGCACGAAGCACACCUUAUUAGAUUACAAGAAAUAAGAAGAAGACUACUUCUUAAUUAAUAGGGUGCAAAUGUAAGUAUAGUAAUAUAUUCAGUUUAGCACUACUAAUUUAUUGAUUUACUUAAUCGU
rnacentral:rRNA from 1 species